AUGCCAUGAUGAGGAUAUUUUUACAACAGCUCCUUAAACCACUCUCACGUGUCAUAGAGAGAUCCGUCUCAAAUUAUUGAAAUGUGGCGAUUUCAUUUCUGAGCUU
rfam:Gossypium raimondii Chr12_contig_287, whole genome shotgun sequence.